UAAAGUCAUCGGGAACACCUGGACCUGC
rnacentral:sRNA from 1 species